GCUCGAGAUGGUGGCGGAGGCCCUGAUAAUGCAAGUGCUUCUUCCAAAUAUCAAGAAGAACUAGCUCGAAUCCAGAGAUUCGUGGACUCAAGAUCCGUGUUGGAACGCCUAAAACAUGUUCCCACGUGGUUGAAAGAUGUGUCGCGGAAGCAAACGCCGAAGUAGUCGUAUACUUGAUGUACAAGAUUGUUUUGUCUAAAACACUUGCCAACGCCGAAGUAGUCGUAUACUUGAUGUACAAGAUUGUUUUGUCUAAAACACUUGCCAUUCUUUCAGAUGUAUAAUAUCUUCCAGAAUGUCAUCUUUGAAUCUUCAAGUACUCGUAACAUUGUA